CCUANGGGUGGCUGCAGUCAAGAAUAUUCCUCAAUGGGCGAAAGCCUGAAGGAGCGACGCCGCGUGACUGAUGAAGUUCUUCGGAAUGUAAAGGUCUUUUUUCAGGGACGAACACUGACGGUACCUGAAGAAUAAGGGGUUGCUAACUCUGUGCCAGCAGCAGCGGUAAUACAGAGACCCCGAGCGCUAUCCGGAUUGAUUGGGCGUAAAGAGUGCGUAGGCGGUCGGACAAGUCCGUGGUUAAAUUCAGAGGCUCAACUUCUGAACUGCUAUGGAAACUUUCUGACUAGAGUGCGGAAGAGGUGAGCGGAAUUGCCGGUGUAACGGUAAAAUGUGUUAAUAUCGGCAAGAACACCAGAGGCGAAGGCGGCUCACUAGGACGCAACUGACGCUGUUGCACGAAAGCGUGGGGAGCGAAUGGGAUUAGAUAACCCGNUANUC
rnacentral:rRNA from 1 species